CCUACGGGAGGCAGCAGUAGGGAAUAUUGCGCAAUGGGGGAAACCCUGACGCAGCGACGCCGCGUGGGUGAUGAAGGCUUUCGGGUCGUAAAGCCCUGUCGAGUGGGGCGAAUGACGAUAUGGCUAAUAUCCAUGUCGAGUGACGGUACCACUAAAGGAAGCACCGGCUAACUACGUGCCAGCAGCCGCGGUAAUACGUAGGGUGCAAGCGUUGCUCGGAAUCAUUGGGCGUAAAGAGCGUGUAGGUGGCUAGAUAAGUCGGAUGUGAAAUCCCUCGGCUCAACCGAGGAAGUGCAUUCGAAACUAUCUAGCUCGAGGAUGGCAGAGGAAGGUGGAAUUCCUAGUGUAGAGGUGAAAUUCGUAGAUAUUAGGAGGAAUACCGGUGGCGAAGGCGGCCUUCUGGACCAUUCCUGACACUGAGACGCGAAAGCGUGGGUAGCAAACAGGAUUAGAUACCCUGGUAGUCCACGCUGUAAACGAUGGUACUAGAUGUUGUGGUAAUUCGACCCCGNAGUGUCGUAGCGUACGACGUUACGUACCCGCCGCGGAGGUAACGGUCGCGAGAGUAAACGUUACGAAGAAGUUAGAGGNGNGAGAGNGCGAGACGACGACGAGGAGGAGG
rnacentral:rRNA from 1 species